rnacentral:rRNA from 1 species
CUCCUACGGGGGGCAGCAGUGGGGAAUAUUGCACAAUGGGGAAACCCUGAUGCAGCGACGCCGCGUGGGUGACGAAGUAUUUCGGUAUGUAAAGCCCUAUCAGCAGGGAAGAAGAUGACAGUACCUGACUAAGAAGCCCCGGCUAACUACGUGCCAGCAGCCGCGGUAAUACGUAGGGGGCAAGCGUUAUACGGAUUUACUGGGUGUAAAGGGAGCGUAGACGGCAGUGCAAGUCUGGAGUGAAAGGCGGGGGCUCAACCCCCGGACUGCUCUGG